UACGUAGGGCGCAAGCGUUGUCCGGAAUUAUUGGGCGUAAAGAGCUCGUAGGCGGUUUGUCGCGUCUGCUGUGAAAACUCGAGGCUCAACCUCGGGCUUGCAGUGGGUACGGGCAGACUAGAGUGCGGUAGGGGAGACUGGAAUUCCUGGUGUAGCGGUGGAAUGCGUAGAUAUCAGGAGGAACACCGAUGGCGAAGGCAGGUCUCUGGGCCGACACUGACACUGAGAGACGAAAGCUAGGGGAGCAAAUGGG
rnacentral:rRNA from 1 species